GACGAACGCUGGCGGCGUGCUUAACACAUGCAAGUCGAACGGAGUGGCGACCGGGUUAGUAACACGUGGGUGACCUGCCCUGCACUUUGGGAUAAGCCUGGGAAACUGGGUCUAAUACCGGAUAGUGUGGGUUGGGCCCGCGGCCUUUCAGCUUGGUGGUGGGGUAAUGGCCUACCAAGGCGGCGACGGGUGGCCGGCCUGAGAGGGUGGACGGCCACAGUGGGACUGAGACACGGCCCAGACUCCUACGGGAGGCAGCAGUGGGGAAUAUUGCAAAAUGGGCGGAAGCCUGGUGCAGCGACGCCGCGUGGGGGAGGACGGGCUUCGGGUUGUAACCUCCUUUCACCAUCGACGCGGUAGAUGGAGAAGAAGCACCGGCUAACUACGUGCCAGCAGCCGCGGUAAUUC
rnacentral:rRNA from 1 species